rnacentral:piRNA from 1 species
UAGCAGCGUUGAAUUCCAACUGUGGC